rnacentral:tRNA from 1 species
GUCCAGGGAUGGCUACCGAACCCACAGUGUUCUGCUUACCGGCAGAUGCCAUGUCCACUAGGCUACCCUGGA